GACGAACGCUGGCGGCGUGCUUAACACAUGCAAGUCGAACGGAAAGGCCCUGCUUUUGUGGGGUGCUCGAGUGGCGAAAGGGUGAGUAACACGUGAGUAACCUGCCCUUGACUUUGGGAUAACUUCAGGAAACUGGGGCUAAUACCGGAUAGGAGCUCCUGCUGCAAGGUGGGGGUUGGAAAGUUUCGGCGGUUGGGGAUGGACUCGCGGCUUAUCAGCUUGUUGGUGGGGUAGUGGCUUACCAAGGCUUUGACGGGUAGCCGGCCUGAGAGGGUGACCGGCCACAUUGGGACUGAGAUACGGCCCAGACUCCUACGGGAGGCAGCAGUGGGGAAUAUUGCACAAUGGGCGGAAGCCUGAUGCAGCAACGCCGCGUGCGGGAUGACGGCCUUCGGGUUGUAAACCGCUUUCGCCUGUGACGAAGCGUGAGUGACGGUAAUGGGUAAAGAAGCACCGGCUAACUACGUG
rnacentral:rRNA from 1 species